AGCUGAGCUGUGGCCUGGAGUCGGGUUGCCUUGGGUCUCUCCUAGCUUCUUCAUUGAUGAGUUCUGGGAGCAUGGGUAGGUUACCUCUCAUCAGGGCUUAACCCAGGUCCAGUUAAGGAUUAAUCUCAGGCCACCA
rnacentral:lncRNA from 1 species